ACUGAGGAAUGAUGACAAGAAAAGGCCGAAUUGCAGUGUCUCUAUCAGCAGUUUGCUCUCUCUUUGGGCACACAAUGACAAAAUAUCCUGAAGCGAACCAAUAGUCUGACCUCAGU
rfam:Callithrix jacchus chromosome 14, whole genome shotgun sequence